UUGGAAUUCUGCAGUUAGAAAGAGCUAGCAAAAUUAUUUGCUCUCAUUUCUCCCUAUUACUUUAUCAGUCACCUAAAAGUGAAAUCAAAGGAUGUUGUGUUCCUCUCCACAAUAGUUACGCAGUAAUUUACUGAAAUUAAAAAAAAAAAAUCUCUAGAGAUGCCUUUGGUUUCAUAAGAUCUGGUUUCUAAUUCCACCUCUGCCACAUGCUAAGUUGAAUAUUUUUUAUCUUCUCUGAGCCUCCACUUCUCCAACUGUAAGAUAAGGAUCAAAAUAAAAAUAUCCUGGUGAUGUUGUGAGGAUGUAAAUAAUACGCUAUACAAAUAUUAUCACUGAUAUACUGCCAGUUUAAAAAAAAAAAAAAAAAAACAGGGUUUUCACCAACCCAAGUUUCACCUAAUGAAGUCUUCUCUGUGCUUUAGACCUCAGUGAGCUCCCUGGAUGCAUUUCGCUAACUUUUUAUGCAUAAUCACAUGCCACAGUCAACAUUCGAUACUCUAGAAAGACCGAAAUAGACUAAAGAAAUGCAUAGGCUGGUGAGAGGAAUUGAGAUCACACCUACUGCUCUGUAAUGUUUGCUAACAAUGGCUUCCUGAGUGCUUUAAGAUUAUAUCCCAUUCAUUUCCAAAGCCAUGUGAAUAUCAAUCGUGUCUAAAGCACUACAGGACAUACUGGGAAUACAACUGAUACAUCAAGUCUCUGCAGUGAAGAGACCUGUCCGGUGGUGGAGAAAACUUGUAAAGAAUUAGUCCAGGCCAGGCAGAGUGGCUCACACCUGUAAUUCCAGCACUUUGGGAGGCCAUGGCAGGAAGAUCAUAAACCCAGGAGUUUGAGACUAGCCUGGGAAACAUAGUGAGAACUCAUCUCCACAAAAUAAAACUUUUUUAAAAAAUUAGCUGCGUGUAGUGGCGCACACCUGUAGUCCAAGCUACUCCAGAGACUGAAGCAGGAGAAUUGCUUGAACCUGGGAGGUUGAGGCUGAAGUGAGCAGCGAUGGUGCCACUGCACUCCAGCCUGGGCUGUAGAGUGAGGGCCUUUCCAGAAAAAAAAAAAAAAAAAAAUCAGUCCAAAUGUGUGUUCAUAAAGACUCCUCAGGUUCUAAGGUUCUUGUGGUAGAGACUACUCAUUACAUCUACUCCCCCUUCUUUCAAAAUAAUUGAACUCCCAGUUUUUAACUGGGUAUACAGUUACAUUUCCCAGCCUCUCUUGCAGCUAGGUGUGGCCAGCUGACUCCAUUCAGGGCAAUAAAAUAAAAUCAAAUUAUUGCAUGGUAGCUUCCUAGAAACCCCCUUAAAAGGGAGCUACUGCAUGGUCUUUGCCUCUUCUUAAUCCCGUCCUCCAUUCAGCUGCCUGGGUGUGGGAUGUGUUAGCUGGAGCUCUAGCACCAUAUUGGACCACAGAAAAUAGGUCACACUAUAGGAAAAGUGAAGUACUGAGCUUAAAGGAAACUUGCUUAUUUACAGCAACCAUAUCAGUCCUGGAAUACCCACCUUCACCUCCUGAUUUCAUUUAUACAAGAGAGACAAUUAGUUAUUGUUUAAGCCACUUCUAUUCGUGUAGCACCGAUUACAAUCUUAAAUAAUCUGUAUACUUAUUUACUUCUUAUUGUCUGACUUCUCACUAGUAUACAAACUGCACAAGAGCAGGGACUUUGUCUUGUUUAUCAUUGUUUCCAAAGUUCCCAUUACAUUACUAAGUAAUAAAGGAAUGUUUAUUUAAUGAAUAAUGAAUGAGUGGAAGAAAUUAACUGUAUUGGAUAGUGUUUCUUCAGGACAACAACUUUUGAUAUCUAAAUCAAAGGGGGAUUUAAUGCAGGGAAUUGAUAACAAAGUUGUUGGAGAGGCUUAAAAAGCAUAGGAAAAAAAGAACAGGGCUGUAGUAGCAAACAGCAGAAAGGAGUUAUUGCCCACAUACCAGGAAGCUACUACUUUCGUUAGAGCCGUGAGACAACACUGAGUGCUGAGCUGCUGAGGAUGGUGCCUCUGCUACUGCUAGAAACAUUCUUUUUGAGCACCUGUAGCUGCUGAAAGCACCACACAGAAGUGCCUGAAACUAUCCAAAGUUGCUCUCUGAGCCUUUGAAAGCUACAACCAAAUCAUUCAAAACAGAAUGAAAUAAAUUUUUUAAAUGACACAAGACCUCUUGGUCUCAGCAACAGAAGCAAGACAAAAGGAAGAUUGGAAAGCGUUGCAGUAAGACAGGCACACUGUGCUGCCACUGUGCCUCUAAGGCCUACCACCUUCAGAAGUCAACUGCAGCAAAUGUGGCUACCCUGCCAAGCUCAAGAGGAAGUAACACUGGAGUGCCAAUGCUAAAAGGCAAACUACCACCAGGACUAGUCGAAUGAAGCACCUAAAAUGGUGUAACACAGAUUCAGGCAUGGAUUCAACGAAGGAACAACGCCUAAACCCAAGAGGGCAGCUGUCGCAGCAUCCAGGUCAUCUUAAGAAUUUCACUCCAGCCUGGGCAACAAGAGUGAAACUCUGUCUCACAACAACAACAACAAAAAAAAAGUGGAAUUUAAUUGCCAUUCUGAGACUCUCCAGACCUGUCUUUCCUCUGGCACACUGAUCAACAGUAUUUGAGAUGUUACUCCAUCACCCCAGAUGCCUGAGUGACUACAGUGAAGAGUCUCCUGCCAGCCUGUGAUUAACUUAUAAUAUAAGCAGGAAAUAAAACUUUGUUGAUUUAA